rnacentral:rRNA from 1 species
UACGUAGGGGGCUAGCGUUGUCCGGAAUCAUUGGGCGUAAAGCGCGUGUAGGCGGUUCGGUAAGUCCGCUGUGAAAGUCGGGGGCUCAACCCUCGAAAGCCGGUGGAUACUGUCGGACUAGAGUGCGGAAGAGGCGAGUGGAAUUCCUGGUGUAGCGGUGAAAUGCGUAGAGAUCCGGAAGAACACCGGAGGCGAAGGCGGCUUGCUGGGCGUAGUCUGACGCUGAGGCGCGAAAGCGUGGGGAGCGAACAGG